AGGACGAACGCUGGCGGCGUGCUUAACACAUGCAAGUCGAACGGGAGGAAAAGAGAAGCUUGCUCUUUUGAAUCUAGUGGCAAACGGGUGAGUAACACGUAAACAACCUGCCUUCAGGAUGGGGACAACACCCGGAAACAGGUGCUAAUACCGCAUAACGUAUCGAUGUCGCAUGGCAAUGAUACCAAAGAGAAAUCGCACAAAGAUGAGCUCGCGUCCGAUUAGAUAGUUGGUGAGGUAACGGCCCACCAAGUCGACGAUCGGUAGCCGGACUGAGAGGUUGAACGGCCACAUUGGAACUGAGAAACGGUCCAGACUCCUACGGGAGGCAGCAGUGGGGAAUAUUGGGCAAUGGGCGAAAGCCUGACCCGGCGACGCCGCGUGAGGGAAGAAGGUCUUCGGAUUGUAAACCUUAGUUAGCAGGGAAGAAGAAAGUGACGGUACCUGCAGAGAAAGCCACGGCUAACUACGUG
rnacentral:rRNA from 1 species